UACAGAGGUCUCAAGCGUUGUUCGGAUUUAUUGGGCGUAAAGGGCGCGUAGGCGGCGGGGUAAGUCGGGUGUGAAAUCUCAGGGCUCAACCCUGAAACUGCACUUGAUACUGCUCUGCUUGAGGACUGGAGAGGAGACUGGAAUUUACGGUGUAGCGGUGAAAUGCGUAGAUAUCGUAAGGAAGACCAGUGGCGAAGGCGGGUCUCUGGACAGUUCCUGACGCUGAGGCGCGAAGGCCAGGGGAGCAAAUGGG
rnacentral:rRNA from 1 species